UCAGGAUGAACGCUAGCGGCAGGCCUAAUACAUGCAAGUCGAACGGUAACAUGAAUAGCAAUAUUUGAUGACGAGUGGCGCACGGGUGCGUAACGCGUAUGCAACCUACCUUAAACUGGAGAAUAGCCCCGAGAAAUCGGGAUUAAUACUCCAUAGUAUUACGAUUAGACAUCUUUUUGUAAUUAAAGUUCCAACGGUUUAAGAUGGGCAUGCGUGACAUUAGUUUGUUGGUGAGGUAACGGCUCACCAAGACUUCGAUGUCUAGGGGUUCUGAGAGGAUUAUCCCCCACACUGGUACUGAGACACGGACCAGACUCCUACGGGAGGCAGCAGUGGGGAAUAUUGGGCAAUGGGCGCAAGCCUGGACCAGCCAUGCCGCGUGCAGGAUGAAUGCCCUAUGGGUUGUAAACUGCUUUUGUACGGGAAAAAACCUUCGAACGUGUUCGGAGCUGAUGGUACCGUAAGAAUAAGGAUCGGCUAACUCCGUGCCAGCAGCCGCGGUAAUACGGAGGAUCCAAGCGUUAUCCGGAUUUAUUGGGUUUAAAGGGUGCGUAGGCGGAAUAAUAAGUCAGUGGUGAAAGCCUACAGCUUAACUGUAGAACUGCCAUUGAUACUGUUAAUCUUGAGUAUAUUUGAAGUGGGCGGAAUGUGUCAUGUAGCGGUGAAAUGCUUAGAUAUGACACAGAACUCCGAUAGCGAAGGCAGCUCACUAAACUAUAACUGACGCUGAGGCACGAAAGCGUGGGGAUCAAACAGGAUUAGAUACCCUGGUAGUCCACGCUGUAAACGAUGAUUACUCGAUGUGUGCGAUACACUGUACGCGUCUGAACGAAAGUAUUAAGUAAUCCACCUGGGGAGUACGACCGCAAGGUUGAAACUCAAAGGAAUUGACGGGGGCCCGCACAAGCGGAGGAGCAUGUGGUUUAAUUCGAUGAUACGCGAGGAACCUUACCUAGGCUUAAAUGUAGUUUGACUUUUCCGGAAACGGGAUUUCUCUUCGGAGCAGAUUACAAGGUGCUGCAUGGCUGUCGUCAGCUCGUGCCGUGAGGUGUCAGGUUAAGUCCUAUAACGAGCGCAACCCCUAUCUUUUAGUUGCCAUCAGGUAAUGCUGGGGACUCUAAAGAAACUGCCUACGCAAGUAGUGAGGAAGGUGGGGAUGACGUCAAGUCAGCACGGCCCUUACGCCUAGGGCUACACACGUGCUACAAUGGCUAGUACAGAGGGCUGCUACCUGGUGACAGGAUGCUAAUCUCUAAAGCUAGUCUCAGUUCGGAUCGAAGUCUGCAACUCGACUUCGUGAAGUUGGAUUCGCUAGUAAUCGCAUAUCAGCAAUGAUGCGGUGAAUACGUUCCCG
rnacentral:rRNA from 1 species